AGCCCCGUGGGGUAGCGGUCAAGCCUGCGAGCCUUUGGAGCUUGCGACGCCAGUUCGAAUCUGGCCGGGGCUA
rfam:Euryarchaeota archaeon RBG_16_68_12 RBG_16_scaffold_16438, whole genome shotgun sequence.